GAAAUGCGAUAAGUAAUGUGAAUUGCAGAAUUCAGUGAAUCAUCGAAUCUUUGAACGCACAUUGCGCCCGCCAGUAUUCUGGCGGGCAUGCCUGUCCGAGCGUCAUUUCAACCAUCAAGCCCCCAGGCUUGUGUUGGGGACCUGCGGCUGCCCGCAGGCCCUGAAAACCAGUGGCGGGCUCGCUGUCACACCGAGCGUAGUAGCAAUCACCUCGCUCAGGGUGUGCUGCGGGUUCCGGCCGUUAAACAGCCUUACAAAACCCAAGGUUGACCUCGGAUCAGGUAGGAAGACCCGCUGAACUUAAGC
rnacentral:misc_RNA from 1 species